rnacentral:rRNA from 1 species
UACGGAGGGGGCUAGCGUUGUCCGGAUUCAUUGGGCGUAAAGAGCGUGUAGGCGGCCAGGUAGGUCGGUUGUGAAAACUGGAGGCUCAACCUUCAGAGGUCGACCGAAACCAUCUGGCUAGAGUCCGGGAGAGGAGAGUGGAAUUCCUGGUGUAGCGGUGAAAUGCGCAGAUAUCGGGAAGAACACCGGUGGCGAAAGCGCUCUGCUAGGCCGCAACUGACACUCAUGGACGAAAGCUAGGGGAGCGAAUGGG